AGAGUUUGAUCCUGGCUCAGAUUGAACGCUGGCGGCAGGCCUAACACAUGCAAGUCGAGCGGUAACAGAUCCAGCUUGCUGGAUGCUGACGAGCGGCGGACGGGUGAGUAAUGCAUAGGAAUCUGCCCGAUAGUGGGGGAUAACCUGGGGAAACCCAGGCUAAUACCGCAUACGUCCUACGGGAGAAAGGGGGCUCCGGCUCCCGCUAUNGGAUGAGCCUAUGUCGGAUUAGCUAGUUGGUGAGGUAACGGCUCACCAAGGCCACGAUCCGUAGCUGGUCUGAGAGGAUGAUCAGCCACAUCGGGACUGAGACACGGCCCGAACUCCUACGGGAGGCAGCAGUGGGGAAUAUUGGACAAUGGGGGAAACCCUGAUCCAGCCAUGCCGCGUGUGUGAAGAAGGCCCUCGGGUUGUAAAGCACUUUCAGCGAGGAAGAACGCCUAGCGGUUAAUACCCGCUAGGAAAGACAUCACUCGCAGAAGAAGCACCGGCUAACUCCGUGCCAGCAGCCGCGGUAAU
rnacentral:rRNA from 1 species